UUACUACUCCCUCCAUCCGGAAAUACUUGUCAUCAAAAUAAAUAAAAGAGGGUGUAUCUAGACGUAUUUUAAUUUUAGAUACAUCUCUUUUUGUCCAUUUUGACGACAAGUAUUUUCGGACGGAGGGAGUAUUUU
rnacentral:pre_miRNA from 1 species